rnacentral:snRNA from 1 species
GCACUCACUUCGGCUGCAUGUAUGCUAAAAUUGGAACCAUACGGAGAAGACCAGCAUGGCCCCCGUGCAAGGAUGACGCACAAAUUCGAGAAGCAUUCCAUAUAAAA